AAUGAACGUUGGCGGCGUGGAUUAGGCAUGCAAGUCGCGCGAGAAGCGUAGCAAUACGUGGAAAGCGGCGUAAGGGAGAGUAAUCCAUGGUUAGCUACCCUCGGGACUGGGAUAGCGGCGGGAAACUGCCGGUAAUACCAGAUGACAUCUUCGGAUCAAAGGUGUGAAUCCGCCCGGGGAGGCGACCAUGUCCUAUCAGCUUGUUGGCGGGGUAACGCCCACCAAGGCAAAACGGGUAUGGGGCGUGAGAGCGUGCCCCC
rnacentral:rRNA from 1 species